rnacentral:rRNA from 1 species
GACGAACGCUGGCGGCGUGCUUAACACAUGCAAGUCGUACGGUAAGGCCCUUUCGGGGGUACACGAGUGGCGAACGGGUGAGUAACACGUGAGUAACCUGCCCACAACUUUGGGAUAACGCUAGGAAACUGGUGCUAAUACUGGAUAUGUGCCCCUGCUGCAUGGUGGGGGUUGGAAAGCUCCGGCGGUUGUGGAUGGACUCGCGGCCUAUCAGCUUGUUGGUGGGGUAGUGGCCUACCAAGGCGGCGACGGGUAGCCGGCCUGAGAGGGUGACCGGCCACAUUGGGACUGAGAUACGGCCCAGACUCCUACGGGAGGCAGCAGUGGCGAAUAUUGCACAAUGGGCGCAAGCCUGAUGCAGCAACGCCGCGUGCGGGAUGACGGCCUUCGGGUUGUAAACCGCGUUCAGCAGGGACGAAGCUUUUUGUGACGGUACCUGCAGAAGAAGCACCGGCUAACUACGUG